rnacentral:rRNA from 1 species
UGGGGAAUAUUGCACAAUGGGCGAAAGCCUGAUGCAGCGACGCCGCGUGAGGGAUGACGGCCUUCGGGUUGUAAACCUCUUUCAGCAGGGACGAAGCGAAAGUGACGGUAGGUGCAGAAGAAGGACCGGCCAACUACGUGC